rnacentral:lncRNA from 1 species
GGAUCCGGAACCUUUCUGUCUUUCCCAUUCACAUUUUGUAUGGUGUAUGACUAGUCCUAUGCAAGCCCAGAAGUCCUAAUGCUCUUAUAUGCAUCAUGGCACAAAAACAUAUUAUAUAUGAGAAAGAGCAGUCGAACAAAAAUUUUGUAAAUACUUGCAAGCAAGCAUUUACAAAUUUUCUUUGAACAUGAAGCUCAAA